AUCUGGCACAUAUAUCAUUUUUCUGGGGGAGGGUUCCUUGACCCCCAAAAGAUUAAGAACCACUAGUCUAGGGAAAGCCAGACUUGUCCAAAACUUCAAAACAUGAUCAGAGAUGCACACUAUUUGUGCUCAAUGAGUAUGAAUGGAUGGAUGGAUGGGUGGAUGGAUGGAUGCCACAUGGAAGAAUGUAUGGGAGGCAGAAAGAAGGGAGUAACCAGUUCUGCCUGGGGCAGGAGGAGAGCAAAGAUUCCCAGGGGCAGCUGACCCUUUUGAAGUGAGACUUGAAGGCUGAAUAGAACUUGCCAAGCAGACAAAAGGAGAUAGGCAUACCAGACAGGGGCAAGAGCAGAUGCAAAGACCCAGGUAUGAGCGAACAUGGGGAUGGUGUGUUUCAGCACCGCAGGGGUUAGUUCACCAUGGCUGGCCACAGGUGCACAUGGGUAAGAGGAGGGGGAGGGACGUUUUCUCCUUUAAAAAGCCCACAGGUUCCAAGGAGGUAUCCUGAUGGGAACCACUUCUUGAACAAGCAGGUAUCUCCCCUCCCCCCACUAACACUUAACAAUUGCCCCAGUCUCCAGGUGGGGGGAGGGGGAGGUCCUAAAGAUAAUCCCAGGCAAGUGUAGAGCAUCUGGUCACUUACCACCUCCUUUCCCAUCCUCCUUUGCUCCUGCAGUCUGUUCCUGAGAGGUCAGUGUUACCAGCCAGCCGCCCCACUUUCCAGAGGAGAAAUGGGCUCCAGAGGCCAGGUGACUUGCCCGAGGACGCUUGACCCAGAAGUUCAUGCUGCCAAAGCUCAUCACUUUCCUUCCAUGGAGGCAAGAUGGGGAGCCAAUCUCUUCUCCAGAAAAGCGCAUUGGCCAAGUCCCAAGAUGAUGGGCGUCCAUCCGCCAUCAAGCAGGAAAAUAUGAAACAGGUUGCUCUGAAAAGACCCGAAUUCUCCAAGCAGCCAGGCUGGUCCUCUCUCUCAAUCUGUCCCCUGGCCCGGCCGGCUGUGCAGUCCCAGCUCCUGUCCUCCCUCAGCCCCCAGCCCCACUUCCAGGUCCGGGGCUGUGGGAGGGGUCCUGGCCAUGC